AAUCAACGCUGGCGGCGUGCCUCAGACAUGCAAGUCGAACGCGAAAGGCUCCUUCGGGAGCCCGGUAGAGUGGCGCACGGGUGAGUAACACGUGGGUAAUUUACCUUCGGGUGGGGAAUAACAGCCGGAAACGGCUGCUAAUACCGCAUAAUGCAGCGGCACCACAUGGUGACAGUUGUUAAAGUGGGGGAUCGCAAGACCUCACGCCUGAAGAGAAGCCCGCGGCGGAUUAGCAGUUGGCGGGGUAAUGGCCCCACCAAGGCGUCGAUCCGUAGCCGGCCUGAGAGGGCGGUCGGCCACACUGACACUGAAUAACGGGUCAGACUCCUACGGGAGGCAGCAGUCGGGAAUUUGGGCAAUGGGCGCAAGCCUGACCCAGCAACGCCGCGUGAAGGA
rnacentral:rRNA from 1 species